rnacentral:rRNA from 1 species
UACGAAGGGGGCGAGCGUUGUUCGGAAUUACUGGGCGUAAAGGGCGCGUAGGCGGCCACCGCAAGUCGAUUGUGAAAUCUCCGGGCUUAACCCGGAAAGGUCAACCGAUACUGCGGGGCUAGAGUGCGGAAGGGGCAACUGGAAUUCUUGGUGUAGCGGUGAAAUGCGUAGAUAUCAAGAGGAACACCUGCGGCGAAGGCGGGUUGCUGGGCCGACACUGACGCUGAUGCGCGAAAGCUAGGGGAGCGAACGGG